GCGCCCUUAGCCCAGCUGGAUAGAGCAUCGGAUUUCUAAUCCGCAGGUCGCAGGUUCGAAUCCUGCAGGGCGCGCCA
rnacentral:tRNA from 6 species